CGGAUAUCUGCUCUCUGCUCAGCC
rnacentral:siRNA from 1 species